AAUGGGUCAGCGACUUAUAUUCUGUAGCAAGGUUAACCGAAUAGGGGAGCCGAAGGGAAACCGAGUCUUAACUGGGCGUUAAGUUGCAGGGUAUAGACCCGAAACCCGGUGAUCUAGCCAUGGGCAGGUUGAAGGUUGGGUAACACUAACUGGAGGACCGAACCGACUAAUGUUGAAAAAUUAGCGGAUGACUUGUGGCUGGGGGUGAAAGGCCAAUCAAACCGGGAGAUAGCUGGUUCUCCCCGAAAGCUAUUUAGGUAGCGCCUCGUGAAUUCAUCUCCGGGGGUAGAGCACUGUUUCGGCAAGGGGGUCAUCCCGACUUACCAACCCGAUGCAAACUGCGAAUACCGGAGAAUGUUAUCACGGGAGACACACGGCGGGUGCUAACGUCCGUCGUGAAGAGGGAAACAACCCAGACCGCCAGCUAAGGUCCCAAAGUCAUGGUUAAGUGGGAAACGAUGUGGGAAGGCCCAGACAGCCAGGAUGUUGGCUUAGAAGCAGCCAUCAUUUAAAGAAAGCGUAAUAGCUCACUGGUCGAGUCGGCCUGCGCGGAAGAUGUAACGGGGCUAAACCAUGCACCGAAGCUGCGGCAGCGACGCUUAUGCGUUGUUGGGUAGGGGAGCGUUCUGUAAGCCUGUGAAGGUGUGCUGUGAGGCAUGCUGGAGGUAUCAGAAGUGCGAAUGCUGACAUAAGUAACGAUAAAGCGGGUGAAAAGCCCGCUCGCCGGAAGACCAAGGGUUCCUGUCCAACGUUAAUCGGGGCAGGGUGAGUCGACCCCUAAGGCGAGGCCGAAAGGCGUAGUCGAUGGGAAACAGGUUAAUAUUCCUGUACUUGGUGUUACUGCGAAGGGGGGACGGAGAAGGCUAUGUUGGCCGGGCGACGGUUGUCCCGGUUUAAGCGUGUAGGCUGGUUUUCCAGGCAAAUCCGGAAAAUCAAGGCUGAGGCGUGAUGACGAGGCACUACGGUGCUGAAGCAACAAAUGCCCUGCUUCCAGGAAAAGCCUCUAAGCAUCAGGUAACAUCAAAUCGUACCCCAAACCGACACAGGUGGUCAGGUAGAGAAUACCAAGGCGCUUGAGAGAACUCGGGUGAAGGAACUAGGCAAAAUGGUGCCGUAACUUCGGGAGAAGGCACGCUGAUAUGUAGGUGAGGUCCCUCGCGGAUGGAGCUGAAAUCAGUCGAAGAUACCAGCUGGCUGCAACUGUUUAUUAAAAACACAGCACUGUGCAAACACGAAAGUGGACGUAUACGGUGUGACGCCUGCCCGGUGCCGGAAGGUUAAUUGAUGGGGUUAGCGGUAACGCGAAGCUCUUGAUCGAAGCCCCGGUAAACGGCGGCCGUAACUAUAACGGUCCUAAGGUAGCGAAAUUCCUUGUCGGGUAAGUUCCGACCUGCACGAAUGGCGUAAUGAUGGCCAGGCUGUCUCCACCCGAGACUCAGUGAAAUUGAACUCGCUGUGAAGAUGCAGUGUACCCGCGGCAAGACGGAAAGACCCCGUGAACCUUUACUAUAGCUUGACACUGAACAUUGAGCCUUGAUGUGUAGGAUAGGUGGGAGGCUUUGAAGUGUGGACGCCAGUCUGCAUGGAGCCGACCUUGAAAUACCACCCUUUAAUGUUUGAUGUUCUAACGUUGACCCGUAAUCCGGGUUGCGGACAGUGUCUGGUGGGUAGUUUGACUGGGGCGGUCUCCUCCUAAAGAGUAACGGAGGAGCACGAAGGUUGGCUAAUCCUGGUCGGACAUCAGGAGGUUAGUGCAAUGGCAUAAGCCAGCUUGACUGCGAGCGUGACGGCGCGAGCAGGUGCGAAAGCAGGUCAUAGUGAUCCGGUGGUUCUGAAUGGAAGGGCCAUCGCUCAACGGAUAAAAGGUACUCCGGGGAUAACAGGCUGAUACCGCCCAAGAGUUCAUAUCGACGGCGGUGUUUGGCACCUCGAUGUCGGCUCAUCACAUCCUGGGGCUGAAGUAGGUCCCAAGGGUAUGGCUGUUCGCCAUUUAAAGUGGUACGCGAGCUGGGUUUAGAACGUCGUGAGACAGUUCGGUCCCUAUCUGCCGUGGGCGCUGGAGAACUGAGGGGGGCUGCUCCUAGUACGAGAGGACCGGAGUGGACGCAUCACUGGUGUUCGGGUUGUCAUGCCAAUGGCACUGCCCGGUAGCUAAAUGCGGAAGAGAUAAGUGCUGAAAGCAUCUAAGCACGAAACUUGCCCCGAGAUGAGUUCUCCCUGACUCCUUGAGAGUCCUGAAGGAACGUUGAAGACGACGACGUUGAUAGGCCGGGUGUGUAAGCGCAGCGAUGCGUUGAGCUAACCGGUACUAAUGAACCGUGAGG
rnacentral:rRNA from 1 species